ensembl:lncRNA
GCCAGUUUGUUAAAGAUUUGUAUAUAUUAAUACAUGUGAACACGUUAACUCGUUUAACAAAUUUUAACUGAAAAUUAUGUAAUGGUAUAAAUUUUCCUACGGCAAAUAAUGUUGAACAUCUUUGGGCCUUUUUGAGAAUAAAUGUGAACAUUCCUCACGCGGAGGCACCAAGAAGCAACAAUGUGAAAAGUGCAUCUUUUUCAACUUUGACAGGUGUUACCAAAAGACUUUCUAAAUCUUCCUUGUUCAUUGUACUCUUGUGGCAAGAUGGCUAGCAAGGGGGUACCCUUCCUGCAGUCCAUGGAGUAAUUACUUUGCUAAAAAAAAAAAGACUUUCUAAAUCAAUUGCGCCGAUUUCCAUUCUACAAACAAUGCAUUGAGUUGUUCCUUCCCACAAUUUUUUUUGCCAACCCUGGCAUUAUUUGACAUUAAUUUUUUCGUCAUUUUUUAUUGAAGGGCUUUCUCAUGUUUUCCUCUUAAGCAUCUUCCUCAUCUUGUACUGUGUCCACUCAUUUACUGAUUGCUGUUAUCUUAUUGGCAGAGCAGGCUUCUCCUCAUUCACACUUCUUUUUAUGUUUCAGAAGCAUUUUGCCUACUUUCAAAAUUCCAGUUACCACCAGGCCUGGUGGCUCACACCUGCAAUCCCAGCACUUUGGGAAGCUGAAGCCGGUGGAUCACUUGCAAUCAGGACUUUGAGACAGCCUGGCCAACAUGGAUUGCAGCAUUUUCUUCAAUGGUAGCCGCUUUUCUCAUGGGAGAGGGAUUGUGAUUCAGCUCUUGACUCUUCUAAGUGCUUCAUUCUGGUACGAUUUGCCCUUCCCCUACAGAAAUUCUUUGAAAGUCUUGCCAUGCUGAUACCAUUUCCCUAACUGUAAGUGCUAUUGUCUGCAUUCUGUAUAACCUAUUGAUCGUUUUUAUGCUGAGCUGCCAAAUAAAAUCAACAAUGCCCAGUUACAUUUGAAAUUCAGACAGACAGAGGCUUUUUUUAGAAUAAGUAUGUUCUCUUAUUUCUGUUUUUAUUUUGUUUUGUUUUCUCAAAUCUGUCAUUCUUACUUCCAAUGGAAAUCUGUGCCAUCUACCCAAAAGUCUAUCACCAUUUCUCAAUCCAUUUUGCACAUUUUUGCUUUCUCCCUUUUCUUUCUCCUUUCUUUCUAACUUAUUUACUUCAUUGAGUAUUUAUUAUUUAGCUUAUAAGAAAUAACAGACAUCAUAUGCUAGCAUAGGCUACUAAUGAUUCCAUUGCCCCAUGCUUAAGGAUCAAAUUCUACUUCACCCGACUGAGAGUACUGUGCUGAGAUAGAGUGGAGAACAAUAAACUAGAUUUCUUCCUAACAAUGUCCAUAAUUGUGUGUUGGUCACAAGGUUCUUUCUUUUUAUUACAGCUACAGCUCUGAAAUCUUUGCAAAGAUCUAACACCAUCAAAUGGAAGAGCAUACAAUCUAAAGUGAAAAUUACGAGCUCCCUCAAGCUGGUGGAUCACACACACUGUUCAAUAGGUAACUGUUGUGGCUUUUUCAAACAGAUUGAACAUCUUUUCAAGUGUUUAUCAGUUAACCCAAUUCCCUUCUCAGUGAGUAUCUGUUAAUUUUAUUUGCAGAUUUUAAUGUUUGUCUGUUAUUGUUGUAAGGGUUCUCUAUAUAUUCUAAAAACUUAUCUUUGUAUAUCAUAUAUGAUCAGAUAUAUACUAUCAUGUAUUUCUUUAAUUUAGUUUGUUUUUACUUUACUAAUACUAUUGAAGUGAAAUUCAGACUCAAGUAGAAUUUAGAACUUGAAAACUCAAUAGAUUUAUGCAUUUCAUACUUCUGAUUUUAUGAAGAGGAGAUUGAGAGUGAUGAUAUAUGUAUCUGUUUAGCCUGCUGGUUAGCCGCACAAAGAAAAUUAGAAAUUGGGUCUCUUGAUUUCUGUGCUAGUGAUUUGGAAUCAUACCAACAUGUUCUCCACUGAGCUCCGGUCGAAGUUGCAUUCUUAGGGGAACAAAAAAAGAGACACACACCCCACUAAUUCCCUGGGUCUUGAAUUAUACAUAUAUGGAUUUCAUUUUUUUAACAAAGGUUGCACUUAGCUGGAAAGUACCUUUUGAGAGUCCUCCUUUCUUCCUCUGUCUUUUCUCUCUGCUAGGAUUCAUUUGAUAGCCUUGAACUGUGAAUAAAGAAUAAAUAUGGCCUUCCUGUACCCUAGGACUAUCCUCUGCCUUAUUUAUGUCUGACCUGGUGCAGUAGUGCUGACCUUGGAAAGUUUAAUUGAGGCUAGAAUUAUAUGGCACAGCUUGAAGCCACCUGAAUUUAGAGGGUGUGACAUACACAAAGACACACACACGUUCACUGACAGUGUAAAGGCCUGAUGAACUGAGCAUUUGUGUGUGUGUGUGUGUGUGUGUGUGUGCCUUUAGCGCUGCUGAAAUGGCAGCAGUGGAAAUACCCUAUUGUAAGUUUUUACUAGACAGAGUUCUUAUGAAACAAUAUAAUAGACCUACAUUCCUUGAUAAUUAAAACACAGAAUUUGCUUGUUAAAUAAAUGCAGAAUUACUUAAAUAUGGAAACUAUUAAGGUUAAAAAAGAGAAAUAGGUCUAACUAAUUCCAGACAUAACUAUUCUGUGAAGUAUUUUUUAGCAAUUUUAUAACAGAUCAAAGUGCUUAAUAUGUGAUGAUCCUUUCACAAUGUCAUUAAGAUAAUUGAAUAACAUAAACAAAAAUUUUUUAAUUGAUUUGUCUUAUAUAACCAUUUAACUUUUUUAAAGCCAUCAUAAAUGGCCAAUUACCCAAAAAUCACCUAUUAAUCAUUUAUUUUACUAAAUAAGAUUGUGACCAAUACUAUAGGUAUGAAUUGUACAUGAAAACAAAGGUCUUGCUAUUGAGAAGAAGAAAUUAUUUUUGUUUACUAAUUAACUAGAUUUAAAGUCAAUUGCAUUCCUACCCGUAUAUUCCCCAAUUAUUAUUUUAGUACACAGUAUAUUUUGAACUAUUUUAGUAAUGAUGUUGUUGUAGAUAAAUCUGAAAAUCAAAGCAGGAAAUUUUCAUUCAUGCUACUUUUAUCUAAUUAAACUAAUAAUCAUGCCAUUAUAUUUAGAGAUAUUAUUAUAUAUCCUGAGUAAUUAGUUAACAGGAUGCUAAAGCCCAAAAAUAUUUGACAAAAUACUUCCAUUUUGAAGUACAAAAGCUAUUUUCUGUUUUAUCUAACAUAACUAAGACUACUUCUAAAAAUGAUCUUUAAAUAAUGACAAAAUAAGAUUAAACGGAUCAAUACAUGAUAUAUUCCUAUGUAUAAAAUGUACAUAUAAGCAUAUAUAUAUGUGAAACAUGUAUAUAUAUAUAUAUAUAUAUAUAUAUAUAUAUGAAAAGACCUCUAGAGAACUUACCUUUUAAUAACUAAAGUCUAAAAAAUAUAUAAUUUUCUCUUUUUUUUUUUUUUUGGACAGAGAAUCUUAUCAAUGUGUGAGCAGUGCUCACAAUUUGUGAAACAUGAAGGAAGGUCUCAGGUUUGCCACAGGGCAUUCUAGAUUCACAAACACAGAAGCUAGCCAGAUAAUUACACUCAUAUGUACCCACAUAAACUCAUUCGCAAAUGAGGUUUACAGCUUCAAGUGAAACUCAAGAUGUUAUCAAGUUGUAACACAGCUUCAUUAAUCUAUAUACUUAAAAAAAAGUAUUUUAAAUUAAUUCUCAUUGUGACAAGAUUUUCUUUAAAAAUUUUCUCAUACUAUAAAUAGUUAUGAAUACAUCAAAUGUGCAAAUUAUUUUUAAAAUGUAACAUCAGCGGUCAAAUUUUAUGUAAAGAGAGUAAGAACUUCUGUGCUUAUUCUGCCAAUGGCCUACGGUUUUGUAAAUUUCAUUUUGCUAAGAGGCCCUGACAAAUCACAUGAGCCUAAUAAUUGUGUUCUAAUCUAGAAAUAUGCAUUGAGAAAUAAAAAUAAUAAAUUAACAUUGAGUAUGAUAAUCAGCACUUAUACAGUACCAUGUGCCAGAUGCUAUCCUAAACACCUUACACAUACUAAUUUAUUUCAUUUAAUUGAAGUUUGUCAUCAAUCCAAUAUUUUUGCAUGGGGUAAGAAGGAAUUUCAUGUAACUAUUCAGAGAUAAUACUGCGGAAGAUUUUUCACCCAAAGAGUAAGAAACAGGGAGAGCAAGGUGUUCAGCCUUCAUCCAACCUCACAUCCAUUCCUUACUCUGGGUCACAGCACGGAAGCUAUAAAGAUUUAUGAGAACCCCGUUUAUAAAUGAGUAGAAAUGUUCUGUUUAUACCAAAUCUUAAACUGUUUUCCAAAAAAAGAACUAGAUAGCUUAAAAGGUGACCAACUUUUAAAAGUGAUUAGAGUUAGAUUUUCUAGCUGUAACGACACUCUAAACAUCUUCAUAGUUAAUUUGGGAAUAUCUUAUCUUCAUCUUUUGUGUUCCACAUGAGCCUGGAUUCCUCAAUAUCUUUUGAACACCAACAUCUCCCUAGGCCCAGAAAACCUAAGGCAUAAUAAUAUAAAAUAUUCAAAAUUUGAACUGAUUGUUUAAAUUGCUAUUGAAUUAUGACAUUAUAUAUGUCACAAGUAGUUACAUAGCCUAUUCUUGAAGGACUCGGCAUUUGCUUAAAUGAUAGCUAUACUCACUCAUGACUUGAUACCCAAAGCUAUUAGUUGACUAUUUAUGGCACAAAAUUUACCAUGCCUAUCUGUUGCCACAUUCAAUAGAAAGUAUUCCUGAAAGUUGAUAAUAUUGUACCUCCAUCCCCUACACUGGCAGAAACCCUAGAAUAAAGAAUUACAUAAGGCUUGGUUUGUCUU